rnacentral:rRNA from 1 species
CGAAGUAGCAAUACUUAGUGGCAGACGGGUGAGUAACAUGUAGGUAUCUGCCCUUUGGCCUGGAAUAACACGAGGAGACUUGUGCUAAUACCGGAUAAGUCUUUACGGAGAAAGCUUUAUGCACCAUUGGAUGAGCCUGCACUUGAUUAGUUUGUUGGUGGGGUAAUGGCCUACCAAGACUGAGAUCAAUAGCUGAUUUGAGAGGAUGAUCAGCCACAUUGGGACUGAGACACGGCCCAAACUC